rnacentral:rRNA from 2 species
UAUCGACGGCAGUGUUUGGCACCUCGAUGUCGGCUCAUCUCAUCCUGGGGCUGGAGCAGGUCCCAAGGGUACGGCUGUUCGCCGUUUAAAGAGGUACGUGAGCUGGGUUUAGAACGUCGUGAGACAGUUCGGUCCCUAUCUGCCGUGGGUGUAGGAUACUUGAGAGGAGUUGCCCCUAGUACGAGAGGACCGGGGUGAACGAUCCACUGGUGGACCUGUUGUUGCGCCAGCAGCAGUGCAGGGUAGCUAUGAUCGGACAGGAUAACCGCUGAAGGCAUCUAAGCGGGAAGCCCCCCUCAAAACAAGGUAUCCCUGAGGGCCGUGGAAGACCACCACGUCGAUAGGCCGGAGAUGUAAGCAUGGUAACAUGUUCAGUUGACCGGUACUAAUUGCCCGAUAGGCUUGAUUUGAUUCAG